rnacentral:rRNA from 1 species
GAGUUUGAUCCUGGCUCAGGAUGAACGCUAGCGGCAGGCCUAAUACAUGCAAGUCGGACGGGAUUGGGGACUUCGGUCCCCAUGAGAGUGGCGCACGGGUGCGUAACGCGUGAGCAACCUGCCCAUAUCAGGGGGAUAGCCCGGAGAAAUCCGGAUUAAGCCCGCAUGUUACGGAUACCCCCGCAUGGGGGAUGCGUUAAAUAUUGAUAGGAUAUGGAUGGGCUCGCGUGACAUUAGCUAGUUGGAGGGGUAACGGCCCACCAAGGCGACGAUGUCUAGGGGCUCUGAGAGGAGAAUCCCCCACACUGGUACUGAGACACGGACCAGACUCCUACGGGAGGCAGCAGUAAGGAAUAUUGGUCAAUGGGGGGAACCCUGAACCAGCCAUGCCGCGUGCAGGAAGACUGCCCUACGGGUUGUAAACUGCUUUUGUACGGGAAUAACCGCCGGUACGUGUACCGGCCUGAAUGUACCGUAAGAAUAAGGAUCGGCUAACUCCGUG